GACGAACGCUGGCGGCGUGCUUAACACAUGCAAGUCGAACGGAAAGGCCCUGCUUUUGUGGGGUGCUCGAGUGGCGAGCGGGUGAGUAACACGUGAGUAACCUGCCCUUGACUUUGGGAUAACUUCAGGAAACUGGGGCUAAUACCGGAUAGGAGCUCCUGCUGCAUGGUGGGGGUUGGAAAGUUUCGGCGGUUGGGGAUGGACUCGCGGCUUAUCAGCUUGUUGGUGGGGUAGUGGCUUACCAAGGCUUUGACGGGUAGCCGGCCUGAGAGGGUGACCGGCCACAUUGGGACUGAGAUACGGCCCAGACUCCUACGGGAGGCAGCAGUGGGGAAUAUUGCACAAUGGGCGGAAGCCUGAUGCAGCAACGCCGCGUGCGGGAUGACGGCCUUCGGGUUGUAAACCGCUUUCGCCUGUGACGAAGCGUGAGUGACGGUAACGGGUAAAGAAGCACCGGCUAACUACGUG
rnacentral:rRNA from 1 species